rnacentral:rRNA from 1 species
GCUANCAUGCAGUCGANCGGUAGCACANAGAGCUUGCUCUCGGGUGACNAGUGGCGGACGGGUGAGUAAUGUCUGGGAAACUGCCUGAUGGANGGGGAUAACUACUGGAAACGGUAGCUNAUACCGCAUAACGUCUCAAGACCAAAGAGGGGGACCUUCGGGCCUCUUGCCAUCAGAUGUGCCCAGAUGGGAUUAGCUAGUAGGUGGNGUAACGGCUCACCUAGGCNACGAUCCCUAGCUGGUCUGAGAGGAUGACCAGCCACACUGGAACUGANACACGGUCCAGACUCCUACGGGAGGCAGCAGUGGGGAAUAUUGCACAAUGGGCGCAAGCCUGAUGCAGCCAUGCCGCGUGUAUGAAGAAGGCCUUCGGGUUGUAAAGUACUUUCAGCGNUNUAGGAAGGUGUUGUGGUUAAUAACCGCAGCAAUUGACGUUACCCGCACAAGAAGCACCGGCUAACUCCNUGCCAGCUNCCGCGNUAAUACGGAGGGUGCANGCGUUAAUCGGAAUUACUGGGCGUAAANCGCACGCAGGCGGUCUGUCAAGUCGGAUGUGAAAUCCCCGGGCUCAACCUGGGAACUGCNUUCGAAACUGGNNGGCUACAGUCUUGUANAGGGGGGUAGAAUUCCAGGUGUAGCGCCUGAAAUGCGUAGAGAUCUGGAGGAAUACCGGUGGCAGAANGCGGCCCCCUGGACAAAGACUGACGCUCAGGUGCGAANGCGUGGGCGAGCAAACAGGGAUUANAUACCCUGGUAGUCCACGCCGUAAACGAUGUCGACUUGGAGGUUGUGNCCUUGAGGCGUGGCUUCCGGAGCUAACGCGUUAAGUCNACCGCCUGGNNAGUACGGCCGCAAGGUUAAAACUCAAAUGNAUUGACNGGGGCCCNCACAAGCGGUGGANCAUGUGGUUUAAUNCGAUGCANCGCNAAAAACCUUACCUACUCUUGANAUCCNGAGAACUUACCAAANAUGCUUUGGNGCCUUCNGGGAACUCUUAAACANGUNCUGCAUGNNUGUCNUCANCUCNUGUUNUNAANUNUUGGGNUNAAUCCCC